rnacentral:rRNA from 1 species
AGCAGCCGCGGUAAUUCCAGCUCCAAUAGCGUAUAUUAAAGUUGUUGCAGUUAAAAAGCUCGUAGUUGAAUUUCGGGAUCGAUACGUCGGUCGUGCCUUCGGUACGUACUGUCGUCAUCGGUUUCUCCCUUCUGACGAACCAUGAUGUCAUUAAUUUGGUGUUAUGGGAAAUCAGGACUGUUACUUUGAAAAAAUUAGAGUGUUUAAAGCAGGCAUUAGCUUGAAUACAUUAGCAUGGAAUAAUGAAAAUAGGACGUUCGAACCUAUUUUGUUGGUUUUUAGGAUCAACGUAAUGAUUAAUAGGGAUAGUUGGGGGCAUUAGUAUUCAAUUGUCAGAGGUGAAAUUCUUGGAUUUAUUGAAGACUAACUACUGCGAAAGCAUUUGCCAAGGAUGUUUUCAUUAAUCG